rnacentral:tmRNA from 1 species
GGGCUUGUACUGGUUUCGACGGGGAUUUUGAAGUUACGGAAGCCAUUGGUGGCGGGGACCACCUAAAAACUCCAAAAAAAAAUAAACGCUGAAGAUAAUUUAGCACUCGCUGCCUAAUAUGGCAGCUGUCAGACCUGGCGCACCUACACGCUAGGACCCUGGCAUCGACUAUGUAGGAAACGAUGCAUCCUAAGCUUUGCGGAUGUAGGCGUA